CCAAACCCGUCCUACCACUAACCC
rnacentral:siRNA from 1 species